rnacentral:rRNA from 1 species
CCUACGGGCGGCAGCAGUGGGGAAUAUUGCACAAUGGGGGCAACUCUGAUGCAGCGAUGCCGCGUGCGUGAAGAAGUAUCUAUGUAUGUAAAGCUCUAUCUGCAGGGAAGUAAAUGACGGUACCUGAUUCAGACGCCCAGGCUAACUACGGGCCAGCAGCCGCGGUAAUAUGCAGGGGGCCAGCGUUAUCCGGAUUUACUGGGUGUUAUCGGAGCGUAGUCGGUAGGACAAGUCAGAAGUGAAAUGCCGAGGCUGAACCCCGGAACUGCUUUGGAAACUGUGGAGCUAGAGAGCAGGAGAGGUAAGUGGAAUGCCUGGUGUAGCGGUGAAAUGCGUAGAGAUUAGGAGGAACACCAGUUGCGAAGGCGGCUUAC